UACUACUUUUCAUUAUUUACUUGUAGAAAUAAGAAACUUUAGUACUAUAUCAGUUUAACAGUGCUGUUAAAAAUUAUUUUUGAACCUAUAUCAUGGAAUGUCACAAAAUAUAUUGUCUCUAACACCAAUCCAUUGUUUAGAUUAAGUAAAUUUCCUUUUCUUAGUAUUGUAAUAAAUUCCAAUUUAUAUAGUAAUUAUUAGGUAGGGUCGCUUAACCAGUGAAUGAACAGCACCCAAUAAAUGAACAGUGAGUUAAAUUUCUUGAAAAAUAAGAAUAUUCGAUGGAAAAGCUCUAUUAUCUCUUUCUAACACAUUGCGCACAUCUUCUUUAUAGAGUUCAUUUACUAGCCUCAAUUAGGCAUUGGCAAAACAGUUUAAAACAAGCGACUGAAGUGUGACUGUGUCACCGCGUGACCAUUUUGUGUCUCUGUUUUAUAAUAUUAAGUUAAAGAAAAACAAAAUGAUGCGGAAGCGACCAAGAUCCAGGAUGUUGAUGAUGAAAAUAAAAAGUUAGCCGGAAAAGAGAACAAGAAGUUGAAAUUGGCUGUUAAAGAAGGGGAAUCAGAAAAGUUUAUUGAGUUCGAGAAAAUAAAGUUGUUAAAAAAGAAAUAGACGACGAAACGAAGAAGCCUGACAAAACAAGCAGUAAAACUUUUAAUAUUGGAGACUUCGUGGUUAUAAGUUACCGAAAGAAGAGGUAUCCAGGUUUAAUAAAAAAUAUAAAUCAGGGUGCCCAAGAAUAUGAGAUCAGCGUUAUGGAAAAUAUAAAACCAAAUUUUUGGAGAUGGCCCAAAAAUGUGGACCAAAUUUGGUAUAAGAGAAAAUUUGUUUUAGAAAAAAUUUCAGAGCCAAUAUCAUCCAAAGGCAGUAUAUAUAACUUAAAUAUUUGAUAAUUAAAAAAACCUUAU